AUUGAACGCUGGCGGCAUGCCUUACACAUGCAAGUCGAACGGUAACGGGUCCUUCGGGAUGCCGACGAGUGGCGAACGGGUGAGUAAUAUAUCGGAACGUGCCCAGUCGUGGGGGAUAACUGACCGAAAGAGCAGCUAAUACCGCAUACGACCUGAGGGUGAAAGGGGGGGAUCGCAAGACCGUUCGCUAUUGCAGCGGCCGAUAUCAGAUUAGCUAGUUGGUGGGGUAAAGGCCUACCAAGGCAACGAUCUGUAGUUGGUCUGAGAGGACGACCAGCCACACUGGGACUGAGACACGGCCCAGACUCCUACGGGAGGCAGCAGUGGGGAAUUUUGGACAAUGGGCGCAAGCCUGAUCCAGCAAUGCCGCGUGCAGGAAGAAGGCCUUCGGGUUGUAAACUGCUUUUGUCAGGGAAGAAAUCUUCUGGGCUAAUACCCCGGGAGGAUGACGGUACCUGAAGAAUAAGCACCGGCUAACUACGUGCCAGCAGCCGCAGUAA
rnacentral:rRNA from 1 species